rnacentral:misc_RNA from 1 species
UCCGAGUUGACCCCGGCAGUCUCCUGCGAGUCCCCGCCAUUACGCGCUGGCAACACAGGACAAGGGUUGCGCUCGUUGCGGGACUUAACCCAACAUCUCACGACACGAGCUGACGACAACCAUGCACCACCUGUGCGCCGACCUUGCGGAACCACCAUCUCUGGCAGCGUCCGGUGCAUGUCAAGCCUUGGUAAGGUUCUUCGCGUUGCAUCGAAUUAAUCCGCAUGCUCCACCGCUUGUGCGGGCCCCCGUCAAUUCCUUUGAGUUUUAGCCUUGCGGCCGUACUCCCCAGGCGGGGCGCUUAAUGCGUUAGCUACAGCACAGAAACCCGGGAAGGGCCCCCACACCUAGCGCCCAACGUUUACAGCAUGGACUAC